UCCAACAAAAACUGGAUUUGUGUCUUGCUCCUUGAAGUUCUUUCAGAUUUUGCUUCAAGUAUUUUGAUGCUGUUAUUAGGUACAUAAAUGCUGGGUUUUAUGCCUUCUUAAUGAACUAACCCUUCUAUCAUUAUGAGAUAAUCUCUUUUUUCCCUGGAUAUAUACAAUCAUGAUUGGAUUUGAAUCUACCCUUUUGCUACUUGUUUUCUACUGCUUUUAUCUGCCCUCAGCCUCUUUUCUCUCUUUUUCUGCCUCCCUUGGAUUAACUGCAUAUUUUAUAUUAUUCCACUUUAUCUGCUUUCUUGACUUAUUAGCUAUAAUUCUUUUAACUGUUGUUUUAGUGGUUGGUUCACAGUUUAUACCUUUAAUUUAUCAUGAACUGUCUUCAGUGUUCUUUAUUCCUUUAUAUAGUCCAGGUUUCUAACUGAUAACAUUUUUCUUCUGUCUGAAGAACUUUUUUUAGCAUAUCUUUCAGUACAGGUCUGCCAGUGACUAAUUUUUUCAUCUUUACUUCAUCUAAACAAGUUUUUAUUUCAUCUUUAUUUUUGAAAGAUAUUUUCACUAGGUAUAAAAUUCCACAUUGAUGGCCUUGGACAGUGGCUCACGCCUGUAAUACCAGCACUUUGGGAGGCUGAGGCAGGCAGAUCACCUGAGGUCAGGAGUUCAAGGCCAGCCUGACCAACAUGGAGAAACCCAGUCUCUACUAAAAAUACUAAAUUAGCCGAGCGUGGUGGUGGGCACCUG
rnacentral:lncRNA from 10 species